CGGAUUUGACUAACACCCGUUAGU
rnacentral:siRNA from 1 species